UACGGGGGGGGGCAAGCGUUGUUCGGAAUUACUGGGCGUAAAGGGCUCGUAGGUGGCCAACUAAGUCAGACGUGAAAUCCCUCGGCUUAACCGGGGAACUGCGUCUGAUACUGGAUGGCUUGAGUUCGGGAGAGGGAUGCGGAAUUCCAGGUGUAGCGGUGAAAUGCGUAGAUAUCUGGAGGAAUACCGGUGGCGAAGGCGGCAUCCUGGACCGACAUUGACGCUGAUGAGCGAAAGCUAGGGGAGCAAACAGGGG
rnacentral:rRNA from 1 species